rnacentral:rRNA from 1 species
GGUGACCAGCGGAGGGAUCAUUAUAGAGUUUUCUAAACUCCCAACCCAUGUGAACUUACCUUUUGUUGCCUCGGCAGAAGUUAUAGGUCUUCUUAUAGCUGCUGCCGGUGGACCAUUAAACUCUUGUUAUUUUAUGUAAUCUGAGCGUCUUAUUUUAAUAAGUCAAAACUUUCAACAACGGAUCUCUUGGUUCUGGCAUCGAUGAAGAACGCAGCGAAAUGCGAUAAGUAAUGUGAAUUGCAGAAUUCAGUGAAUCAUCGAAUCUUUGAACGCACAUUGCGCCCAUUAGUAUUCUAGUGGGCAUGCCUGUUCGAGCGUCAUUUCAACCCUUAAGCCUAGCUUAGUGUUGGGAAUCUACUUCUCUUAGGAGUUGUAGUUCCUGAAAUACAACGGCGGAUUUGUAGUAUCCUCUGAGCGUAGUAAUUUUUUUCUCGCUUUUGUUAGGUGCUAUAACUCCCAGCCGCUAAACCCCCAAUUUUUUGUGGUUGACCUCGGAUCAGGUAGGAAUACCCGCUGAACUUAAGCAUAUCAAUAAGCGGAGGAAAAGAAACCAACAGGGAUUGCCUUAGUAACGGCGAGUGAAGCGGCAACAGCUCAAAUUUGAAAUCUGGCCCUUGGGUCCGAAUUGUAAUUUGUAGAGGAUGAUUUUGGUGCGGUAUCUUCCGAGUUCCUUGGAACAGGACGCCUUAGAGGGUGAGAGCCCCGUACGGUUGAAUGCCUAGCCUCUGUAAAUCUCCUUCGACGAGUCGAGUAGUUUGGGAAUGCUGCUCUAAAUGGGAGGUAAAUUUCUUCUAAAGCUAAAUAUUGGCCAGAGACCGAUAGCGCACAAGUAGAGUGAUCGAAAGAUGAAAAGCACUUUGAAAAGAGGGUUAAAUAGCACGUGAAAUUGUUGAAAGGGAAGGAUUUGUGACCAGACUUUUUCUGGGCGGAUCAUCCGGGGUUCUCUCCGGUGCACUUCGCCCAGUAAAGGCCAGCAUCGGUUUUCGGCGUGGGAUAAAAGCAGUAGGAAUGUGGCUCUCUACGGGGAGUGUUAUAGCCUAUUGUAUAAUACCGCGCUGGGGACCGAGGUUCGCGCUUCUGCAA